AUUAUACAGAGGACCAGAACAGUAGUCUAAUGUUAUAGAAGAGAGGGCCAGAACAGUUAUCUAAUUAUAUAGAGGACCAGAACAGUAGUCUGGUGGCGUAGAAGAGAGAACCAGAACAGUAGUCUAAUGUUGUAGAAGAGAGGACCAUAUAUUAUAUAUAAUUGUCAUGAUUGAUGAUAAUACUUUAGGGGAGGCAGGUAGCCUAGUGGUUAGAGGCAGGUAGCCUAGUGGUUAGAGGCAGGUAGCCUAGUGGUUAGAGGCAGGUAGCCUAGUGGUUAGAGGCAGGUAGCCUAGUGGUUAGUGGCAGGUAGCCUAGUGGUUAGAGCGUUGGACCAGUAACCAGCAGGUAGCCUAGUGGUUAGAGCGUUGGACUAGUAACCAGCAGGUAGCCUAGUGGUUAGAGCGUUGGACUAGUAACCAGCAGGUAGCCUAGUGGUUAGUGUUGGACUAGUAACCAGCAGGUAGCCUAGUGGUUAGAGGCAGGCAGCCUAGUGGUUAGAGCGUUGGACCAGUAACCAGCAGGUAGCCUAGUGGUUAGAGCGUUGGACUAGUAACCAGCAGGUAGCCUAGUGGUUAGUGUUGGACUAGUAACCAGCAGGUAGCCUAGUGGUUAGAGUGUUGGACUAGUAACCAGCAGGUAGCCUAGUGGUUAGAGCGUUGGACUAGUAACCAGCAGGUAGCCUAGUGGUUAGUGUUGGACUAGUAACCAGCAGGUAGCCUAGUGGUUAGAGUGUUGGACUAGUAACCAGCAGGUAGCCUAGUGGUUAGUGUUGGACUAGUAACCAGCAGGUAGCCUAGUGGUUAGUGUUGGACUAGUAACCAGCAGGUAGCCUAGUGGUUAGUGUUGGACUAGUAACCAGCAGGUAGCCAAGUGGUUAGUGUUGGACUAGUAACCAGCAGGUAGCCUAGUGGUUAGUGUUGGACUAGUAACCAGCAGGUCGCCUAGUGGUUAGAGCGUUGGACUAGUAACCAGCAGGUAGCCUAGUGGUUAGAGUGUUGGACUAGUAACCAGCAGGUAGCCUAGUGGUAGGGGUGUUGGACUAGUAACCAGCAGGUAGCCUAGUGGUUAGAGCGUUGGACUAGUAACCAGCAGGUAGCCUAGUGGUUAGUGUUGGACUAGUAACCAGCAGGUAGCCUAGUGGUUAGAGCGUUGGACUAGUAACCAGCAGGUAGCCUAGUGGUUAGAGCGUUGGACUAGUAACCAGCAGGUAGCCUAGUGGUUAGAGGCAGGUAGCCUAGUGGUUAGAGUGUUGGACUAGUAACCAGCAGGUAGCCUAGUGGUUAGAGCGUUGGACUAGUAACCAGCAGGUAGCCUAGUGGUUAGAGUGUUGGACUAGUAACCAGCAGGUAGCCUAGUGGUUAGAGUGUUGGACUAGUAACCAGCAGGUAGCCUAGUGGUUAGAGUGUUGGACCAGUAAUAUUUUUAAUUAGCCAGAAUACAGGGUUUCGAUUUGCACUUAACAAUAUCAUGUCAUAAAGAUCAUGUAGAAAGUCUGGUUUAUGGUGCAUAUACCUACUGGCAUCGUUUAGAAAUGGAGAGAAACUGGACAAAAGGUGUUAAUCAGACAACACAGAGACACAUAAGUUGUAUCAAGUUGUAGAAACAUCUCAAGGAUGAUCAAUGGAAACAGGAUGCACUAGAGCUCAAUAUCAAGUCUCAUGUAAAUAAGGUAUUUCUGUUUUAAAUUUGAUACAUUUACACAAAUUUCAAAAAAACUGAUUUUGCUUUGUCAUUAUGGGGUAUUGUGAUGUCAUUAUGGGGUAUUGUGAUGUCAUUAUGGGGUAUUGUGAUGUCAUUGUGGGGUAUUGUGAUGUCAUUAUGGGGUAUUGUGAUGUCAUUAUGGGGUAUUGUGAUGUCAUCAUGGGGUAUUGUGAUGUCAUCAUGGGGUAUUGUGAUGUCAUCAUGGGGUAUUGUGAUGUCAUCAUGGGGUAUUGUGAUGUCAUCAUGGGGUAUUGUGUGUAGAUUACUGAGUUGUUUUAUUUAUUUAAUCAAUUGUAUAAUAAGGCUGUAACAAAAUGUGGAAAAAGUCAAUGGCUCUGAAUAAUUUCCGAAUGUAUCUAAUUGACUAACAAGUAGUCAAUACCCAAGAUGUGGGUCAUUAUAAGCAGAAACAAAGGCCUGUCUAAAAAGGCCUGUCUAAAAAGGCCUGU